UCGUCAUAUUUGGACUUCCGUAUAUUUUGUUACAGCUGUCGGCUCCACUGUCGUCGUCACUAUGAUGGUUUGGUGGUGGUGGCUGGUAUCCAACUCACCGUUAUAGUAAAGUCGGUCGGUAGGCCUGCUGGUCACCACAUUUAUUUCAAUUAUUAGUUUUUUUGGUACUUCACGGGCAGCAGCAGCGUGGCUUAUGUGGAUUUAUUUAUUCGUUUAGACAAUUUAUUUACCGGUCGGUGUCACUACUGUGAAACGUAACUGAAAAUUAGUAGUACCAAUUAGCCAAAAUACCCCCCCCCCAAAUAUCUGUCAUACUUUUAUUAUUGCAUUCUUAUAUAUUCAUUUACCGUCUCUUCUACAUCUGGAAUCCUAAAAAAUCAUUUAUGCUCACAUGUAUAUGGUUUGUGCCAUACUGGAACAUAAUUAUUAGCAACAUGGUGGUGACUAAGAGAGGAAGGAGUCAGCCAACUUGAUAUUGAUCCUACUCCUUUUUUUCCCCUUUUUUUUUUUUUGCUUUUGUUAUUACUAUCCCCUACAAAACGUCUUCAAGAUUGCUUCCUGUAAGAAUUCCUCCUAAAAGUAAUAGCUACAGUGCCAUAAACUGACAUAAUUCCAAUGUAGUUUAGACACACACACACACAUACAUACACUAUAUAUUGUAUAAAUAUUUACACAUCUACACACUUACACACAUACAUAUAACACACACACACACAAAAUGUACAUGCCUAUAUAUCUCUCUAGAAGUACGUAGAUAAACAUAUAUAUAUAUAUAGACUAUAGCGGAUGUGUUUCAGAGUUUUCAUAAAUGAUUUGAAGUAUUUCACUUAGACAAAUAGAAAUCUAUUUUACUUGGCAUAUUAUAAUCUAUCCUUUGUUUUCCUUUUUGGCAAUAAAUGUAUAGACAACAAAUAAUAUAUAUAUAUAUAUAAAUAUUCACGCACUGUAUUCAAUAUCUUGUGUGGAUGAAGUGCGCUGAUAUACUACACAUCAGCGACAAUUAAAAAACACCGAUAUUUAAAUUUAAAUCCAACAUAUAUAUAUGUGUGUAUAUGCUUUUGAUAUUUGAAUAUAAAACACACAUAGAUACAUACGUAUAUACACGUAUAUACACAAGCGAUAUUUGAUGUUGGGAAUGAAAUACACGUAUCUGCACUGACUCUUUUGUAUCUAUGAUAGAAACACAUUUUCAUGGAUAUUUUUAUAAAUAACCUCUGCUAUUUAGUCCGUUGGGUAUUUCCACCUCAUGGGGUAAUUCUUGUGUAAGCGGUAGUUGUAGAAAUAACAAUAUAAUUAUAAUACCACUAACCAGCAACGUCAGUGUGUAAAUAUAAAGAAUUGAAAAAAUACAAAUAAGGGGUAUUUAUUUACUUGUUGACUUAUUUGUCUUCACUCACACGACUUUUCCCAUUGUUGAAUUAUUGGGGAAAGGAUAUUUACUCAACAUUUUAAAAUAGAAUCGGUUCACAGGGGUGGUUUUAGUUAGUGUGUAAAGCAAAGGAAAGUAAACUAAUAAUUUUUGUUUGUUUUUCUUAGAAUCGUUCAGCAUUGAGAAAUUCUCACACACACCCUUUCUUGUAAAACAGUAAACAUAAUAAGAUAUACUUACAUUAACCAGAAAAUACUAUAAAUUAAAAACAGUUGAAAAAAUGAAAAAAAAGGAGGAAUAAAGAAAAAAGGAUAGCAAUUUAAUUAGAAAUAUAUUAAAAAAAAAAAACAUUGCCUACUAAGCACCUGUUAAGCCCUUCCUUAAGAGUUUGGUCCUUGUUUCAGUCCCGACUGUAGUCUGGACUAGCUUUUGACAUGGGCUUUCUCUUUUCAAAACUGUGGAGUUUAUUCACCAACGAAGAGCACAAGGUGAUAAUUGUUGGAUUAGACAAUGCUGGUAAAACAACUAUUUUAUACCAAUUUCUGAUGAAUGAAGUGGUUCACACAUCUCCAACAAUUGGGAGCAAUGUGGAAGAAGUGAUAUGGAAAAAUAUCCGUUUUCUAAUGUGGGAUAUUGGUGGUCAAGAAUCUUUACGUUCUGCUUGGAACACUUAUUACACAAAUGCUGAGUUUGUGAUUCUUGUUGUGGACAGCUGUGAUCGAGAACGGUUAUCAAUUACCAAACAAGAACUUUAUACAAUGCUAGCUCAUGAGGAUUUGCGUAAAUCUGCCAUGUUGAUUCUGGCUAACAAACAAGACAUCAAGGGCUCCAUGUCUGCUGCUGAGAUCUCCCAACAACUCAAUUUGACCUCAAUAAAGGACCACGUAUGGCACAUUCAGGCCUGCUGUGCUCUUACAGGCGAAGGGUUGUACCAAGCUCUUGACUGGCUCGGAAACCAACUUUGGCGGAGAUGAUAGUUGUGUGUGUAGGAUGUCAUUUCCCAUUGUUCUCAUUAUAAUAAACAUCAUCAUUAUCAUCAUUGCCAUCACCACUACUACCGCCAUCACCACUACUACUAUCAUCAACAUCAUUGUCAUCAUCAUCUCCAUCAGUAUAGGCAUCACAGCCACAGCAGCAUUAUUAGCUGCCGUUUAUGGCUGCUAUCUGUCGCAGCCUGCUGAACAAGAAGAACUUGCUAAUUGUGUAUAAACUAAAUCCAUCAUGGAAUCCAUUCGUUGUCGUCCUGUUUUAUGGCUAUCAAUUCCAGGGGCAAACAACAACAACAACAACAACAACUGGAGGAAAAAAGAAGAAACUGGCAUUUGGGGAAGCAGCAAAAUGUUUUCAUCCCCUCUUAUAACCAACAAAUUCAGUUAAUAGAACAAAUUUUGGGUGUUGUCAACAAAAAUGAAUAAAUAAAACGGGAAGAAGGAAACUGCCAGCGACUGCCCCUGUCUUCAUCUUUUCAUUCUUUUCCUUCUCAUCUUGCUUCUCUUCUUUCAUUUUAAAGACAAGUGAAUAAAUCAGGGAAUAAGGUGGGGAUUUUAAUUGCUGGAAAGUAACAAAAAACAAACAAAAAGAAAAAGAAAGGAAAGAAAGAAAGCAACAAUGAACUUUAAAAAAAAAUGUACUGACUGGUUUAAGGAAAGGAAAAC
rnacentral:misc_RNA from 1 species